rnacentral:lncRNA from 1 species
AUACAGUUGAUAAACUUUUUUAGACGCCUUUGGCAUUUAUGUUUAAAACGACACCACCUGCUAAGUAACAAACACUCUUCUUAAUCGCGGUGGCAAAAACGUAUCCGUCCCGUGUGUGUUUGUUUUUACCCUUCCGCUACACUCUUAAGAAACUUGGCCGCUUCCGCCCCAGAGAGUGCCCUAACCACGAGUCGGGUUGACAGGGCUGCUCGCAUGCGCGGUCUCCACCGUGGUGUUUGUCGCAAUGGGCGCUGCGCGGAGGACUACAUGGAAUCUCGACUUUGCAGCUUGAAGUCAUUUUGUUGGCGGCGCUGGUUACCGGCUACCUCCGCGCGGGCACUUGAUUGUAACAGAAAGUAGUUCCGGCCC